rnacentral:rRNA from 1 species
UACGUAGGGUGCGAGCGUUAAUCGGAAUUACUGGGCGUAAAGAGUGCGUAGGCGGUUCUUUGUGUCCGCUGUGAAAGCCCCGGGCUUAACCUGGGAAUGGCAGUGGAAACUAGAGAACUCGAAUCUGGCAGAGGGGGGUGGAAUGCCACGUGUAGCAGUGAAAUGCGUAGAUAUGUGGCGGAACACCGAUGGCGAAGGCAGCCCCCUGGGCUGAGAUUGACGCUCAGGCACGAAAGCGUGGGGAGCAAACAGG